UUGCAGACUGGGUUAUUGUUUGUGUGC
rnacentral:piRNA from 1 species